ACCCAACCCCUCCUCCCACGCUCUCUAAUGGACUGCAAGUCCAAUCCCGAGCCGAGUGGAAACCCUAGUUCGAUAGCCGAUGGUGCUGGUGCUGGUGCUGGCGUCGGAGAACCCAACCCCUCCCGUGAAUCCCUCGCCAUCGAGCCCGGUCGCGAUCCCCUGCUGGGGGAUGAAGCCAAUGUGUCCAACCAAGAUGGCUCCGAUAGAAAAAGUGCCGACUUGGAGCUCGCUGGAGAAGGAAAUGGCGCCGCUGCCGUGAAUCCAAAUGGGGCAAGGUCUAAAAGUCUCGAGUUGGGCUCUACCAUCGAUCGGAAGAUGGAAAAUGUUAGCUUGAUGGGUCCUUCUGAUGCUGCAGAUUCGAAAGAAGAUGGAAGUGGAGUCUCCAUGGCCGUCAAUGGCGCUCCUGUGGAUCCCGGUGUCGAUGUUAGUACCCAAAGAUCGAAGGGGGAUGGAAGCACUGGGGUUUCUUCGGCUACUGAUUCAAAAAUGGAGGGAGAAGGCGAUGGUGCUGAUAGCGGUGAGGAUAGCUGUGAGGCAGAAUCGGAGGAGUCGGAGGGUGAUGAUUCGUCCAGUGAAGAAUCCUCUUCUUCAAGCAGCGAGGAGGAGGAUGAGGAGGGUGAUAGUCAAGAUAGUGAAGAUAAAGAAGAUCAAGACGAAGAACUUGUUGUUGGUAGUGAUGAUGAAGAUGAGGUUGCGAAGAGAACGAUCAGGUCAAAACACGAGCUCGAGGUGCUACCUCCAGUUCCUCCACUUGAAGUAACCUUGGAACCGCACCAUCAAUUGUUGCCAGUGGGGACAAUUUCAGCUAUGCUGGGCACCAAAGUUAUUGUUGAGGGUUCAGUGAAUCACAACCCUCUUAAUGAGCGUUCUAUUCUUUGGAUAACAGAUACGAGGUCCCCAUUAGGACUCGUGGAUGAGAUAUUUGGACCUGUAAAAUGCCCUUACUAUGUUGUCAGGUACAAUUCUGAGAAAGAUGUCCCAGUUGGAAUCCGUGAAGGCACUGCUGUCUCAUUUGUCAUGGAAUUUGCCAAUAACAUUCUCAGUGUGAAGGAUCUAUAUAAGAAAGGUUAUGAUGCAUCAGGUGAGAAUGAUGAGGAGAUCACUGAGCAGGUGGAAUUCUCAGAUGAUGAGAAGGAAGCUGAAUACAAGAGAUCUCUGCACCAAGAAAAGAGAGGGGCUGAUGAUAAGAGAGAAGGGAAUCGACAGAAUGCAUCCAGAAGGAAAAAGACUAAAUCUAAGGGCACUGAGCAUCGGAAAGGCUUGAGACCUUUGCUCCCUCGUGGUCCAGUGGUCAUGAACCAGCUGCCACCUGGAGUUUCAGGCCCUCUGGCAUCUUUAGGUGCAAACAAUUCUGCUUAUGGAAGGGGUUCAUAUUAUUUGGGAGCUGGGAGUGCAUGUAUAAGUGCUUCUCCGAUAGUUCCAGCAGUUCCCCAAGCAAUUAAUUCAGGUGGUUGUCCUCCUUGUAUAUCUCACCAGUUUUUACAGCAGCAACCAAAUGCUAUUUGGGCUCAUGGUUUGCCACCUCAGCAGCGGCCAAAUGCUUUCUGGCCUUAUGGAAUGCCACUUUCACUGCAACAGCAGCCAAAUGCUGUUCAGGCCUCUGGAAUGCCACCACAGCAGCAGCUGGAUGCUGCUAUGGGCGGAUUUCAGAUGAAUGCCUCACCUAGGCGGCAGCUGAGAAGCCAUGUUCAUGAUCAGCAGCAUCAAAAUCAGGCUUCUAAUGGUAAUAUGAAUGUGAUGCCAUCUCAGCAGCAGCAGUUUGUUCCUCUAUUUGCAGCUUCUACCAACAUGUGGCCAUUCAGGCCAUUAAAUGUCUUUGCUGGUCCCGUGGCUCCUUUGCUGGUUGGGCGAGUUGGCAUUAGUCAAACAUCAUCUGGGCAAGGCAAUGUAUCUGCACAAGGAGGUUCAGGGCUAUGUAAUCGACAGAGUCACCCACAACAUUCACCAGCUAUUCUUCAUGCUGGGAUGCUGCCUCCACUGCAAUUCAAUUUUGGGAGUUCAUCUGUUCAUGGCAGAAAGCCUAAUGUGAGAGGAGGUGGUCAUUCAUGUGGCAGAGGUGGACGGAGGCGAAAAGCGUAGAUAUAUAUAUUGUUUUGGUUUGGAUGUUUUUGACUAUAUAGGAACCUGUUAAUGCAAUGCUUUAGCCAGUAUGAAGCAGCAGCAGGAGGCAGAGGUGGAAACUGGAAAGUGCGGUAUAACCAUGGGCAGUCAUGAUCUGGUAUGAGGUUAUUUUGAACACUUCCUCAUGCGGAAUGUAUAUUAAAAUUUUGAGCUUCUAGGUCCAGUUUCAGAAAGCUUCAUCAGUCCUUUUGAAUUUCUGAGACCGUCAAGCUCUUGAAGAAUGUAGGUUAAAUAUCGAAUUUGUGGAUUCAGUAUGUAACAGCUUCUUCUAUCUUAUUGAGGAGCUUCCGAGACUGCCAAGCUUUGAAGGAAUACAGGGUUAGAUUUAUGCCUGAACCAGUGAAGCUGUAUAGUGUUCCCGCCUUCAUCGCUUGUGAAUCCAACAUGCAUGGGCUGCAAGAAAAAUCAAAUGGAGCCAAGCAAAUUGGGAGGAUAAUGAGAAUGGAACCUUAAUUGGAAUGCAGGAACCUAUUCGCACACCUGAUGGAUAUCUCCCAUGAAGUGGGACAAAAAUAGCAAGGCUUCUGUCAAGUUAUCUGUGGACAUCAAAUCCAUUUGACAGAGAAUUAAGUCAAAGAAACUAGGAAAAGAAUGCAAGGCAUGCGGAUUAGAUUGCCGUGUGCAUCUUGAGCAACAGCAAGUUCCUUACAUCGGCGAUCUGAUGUCCCUUCUCUGUAGUGCAGUAGCUGCAUGGUGAAGUUGCGGAUGGCACCAG